AUUUGUAGGUGCGAAAAAAGGACCAGAUCAAUAUUGAAACAAAGAACAAAACUGUUCGUUUUAUUGGAGAACUUACUAAGUUUAAGAUGUUCACAAAAAAUGAUACACUGCAUUGUUUAAAGAUGCUUCUGUCAGACUUUUCCCAUCACCAUAUUGAAAUGGCAUGUACCCUGCUGGAAACAUGUGGAAGAUUUCUUUUCAGAUCUCCAGAAUCUCAUCUGAGGACCAGUGUACUUCUGG